rnacentral:lncRNA from 1 species
UUUUUUUGAAGAAAAAAUAUUAUGUUUCGUUGAUGCAAAGAAAAGAUAAACAAAUAUCAGAUGAUGAAAAAAAUAAGAAUCAAUUUCACAAAAAAAAUUAAAAAAGAAAUCACCAAGAGAAUGAGGACCGGAUCUAAAAAAAUCAACAAAUUUAAAAUUUUGAUUAAAUGAUAAAAUUGAAAACAAUUAAAAAUUCCAAAAGAAACAAAAAAAUAUAAGAAAA